GCAUUAAAAACGUGUGAAAAUAGUAAAAAUUAAAAUUAAGUUUUAGGUGGUAAAAAAUUAACAAUAUUAAAAAAAUUUGGUGUUAAAUAAUUAAGAAAAUCAUAAAGAAUAACUUGCAAAUGUUUUUAAGUCGGUGGCAAAGUUAUUUUGUACAAAAAGUUUCGGUGAAAGAUUUAGUAAAUGUGAUGUGAGGGAAGCUGCUAUGAAAUAAGUUGCGCAGAGUACGGAGUUGCGCAAGUGAACGCCGUUAUGCGCCGUCGUAAUGCUUUUUAUACGAAACGACGUUAAAGAAGUGUUAAGUGGAUAUAAAGGAAAUUAAAGGUAAAAGAAUUAAAGCUAAAUGAUACACACCAUACACUUACAGACAGAGCGGGUCAUUAACCUUUCCCUAUUGCUGGAGGCAAACAGAAUCUAACUUACGUCAUACUUCAUACAAAAAAACUCCAACAACAAUAACAAUGAAAUUAUGAGCAAAAUUUUCUUUAGCAAACACCAGUCAAGGAAUGAGCCCAAGAACAAAUGAGUGUGUGAGGUGAGUGAUUUGGUGAAUGAAUGAUGUGUAAUCGAAGCGCAAGAGAAAAAUUGCCAAAGUCCGAAGUAACAGCAUGUUGUUUAUGGCAGUUUUGGAGAUUAUUUUAUGUGCCACAAUAUUUCAGCUGAUGCUUGCCAUACAUAUCGUUAUGCCAUUUACAUAGAUAUUUUAUGUGGCAAAUGAGAUAAAGAACUGCCAAAGUAAUUUCGAAAACAACUCAAUCCUAAAACCCAACUUAACUUAAACAUCAAAUAGAGUACAUUCCCACAUGAACAUUGAAAAUAAAGAAUAAAGAAACUCCAAAUGGCAAUGGCCCUGAAAACAUUGCUUCAAUAGCUCUCCAUACAUAAUAACCCAACAACCAGCCAACAACAGAGCAAAAAUAAAAACCAUUCAACACAUGCGAAACCGAACCGACAACAGCCAUUGAGCUCAAACAGCAAAAACUUCAAUCAGCAGCAAAAACUCACAAAACAAAACAAUAAAAAACACCAAGUUACAUUUUAUUCUUGUAUUUACUAGAGGAGUGUGCAGAACCUACUAAAUACUAUGAUAAAAGUAGAUGCAAUAGAGCAGAGACAACAUUGAAAAAGCAUGAUUUUUCAACAUAAAUUCAGAUAAAUACACAGAAAAUAUUCAAGAACACAUUGAAUGUUCAUAGUCAUAUACCCUACCAAUGCCAUUGUCAAUGCCAGGAGGUUGUUUGGUCGGUUCUUUAGAAUUUCGUAAUAUUUUUUGUGCAGACUUUACCACCACCACCAUCAGCGCCAUCAACUCCAACAUCAUCAUCAUCGCCUUCAACAUUACAAGGAAUAAACUUUGUCAGGGUGUUAAUGUCAGCCCAUCAUUCUUCAACAUCUGUGUCGUAACAGGGAAAUCUGCUGCAGAAAAAAAAACAACCUGGUUUCUUGGUCAGUAUUGCUAUGAGAUUUCGCUUUCGUUAAUAUUAAAAUUUUGUUUUGAAUGAAAACAUUACUAAUAAAGAUAAAUAAAAAAC